rnacentral:rRNA from 1 species
AACGAACGCUGGCGGCAGGCUUAACACAUGCACGUCGAGUGGGCACUUCGGUGCUAGCGGCGGACGGGUGAGUAACGCGUGGGAACGUAUCCUUUGGUUCGGAAUCGCCUCGGGAAACUGGGAGUAAUACCGGAAGAGCUCUUCGGAGGAAAGAUUUAUAGCAAAAGGAUCGGCCCGCGUUGGAUUAGGUAGUUGGUGGGGUAAUGGACUACCACGCCGACGAUCCAUGGCUGGUUUGAUAGGAUGAUCAGCCACACUAGGAAUGAGAAACGGGCCAAACUCCUACGGGAGGCAGCAGUGGGGAAUCUUAGACAAUGGGCGCAAGCCUGAUCUAGCCAUGCCGCGUGAGCGAUGAAGGCCUUAGGGUUGUAAAGCUCUUUCAGUGGGGAAGAUAAUGACGGUACCCACAGAAGAAGCCCCGGCUAACUCCGUGCCAGCCGCCGCCGUAA